rnacentral:rRNA from 1 species
UACGUUCCCGGGCCUUGUACACACCGCCCGUCAAGCCAUGGAAGCUGGGGGUGCCUGAAGUCGGUGACCGCAAGGAGCUGCCUAGGGUAAAACUAGUAACUGGGGCU